AUUGAACGCUGGCGGCAUGCCUUACACAUGCAAGUCGAACGGCAGCGCGUCCUUCGGGAUGGCGGCGAGUGGCGAACGGGUGAGUAAAGCAUCGGAACGUGCCCGGUAGUGCGGGAUAGCUCGGCGAAAGCCGGAUUAAUACCGCAUGAGAUCCGAGGAUGAAAGCAGGGGACCCGCAAGGGCCUUGCGCUACUGGAGCGGCCGAUGUCAGAUUAGGUAGUUGGUGGGGUAAAGGCCUACCAAGCCUGCGAUCUGUAGCUGGUCUGAGAGGAUGAUCAGCCACAUCGGGACUGAGACACGGCCCGAACUCCUACGGGAGGCAGCAGUGGGGAAUUUUGGACAAUGGGCGCAAGCCUGAUCCAGCCAUGCCGCGUGCAGGAUGAAGGCCUUCGGGUUGUAAACUGCUUUUGUACGGAACGAAAAGCCCCCUUCUAAUAAAGGGGGGUGAUGACGGUACCGUAAGAAUAAGCACCGGCUAACUACGUG
rnacentral:rRNA from 2 species